CGGAAGCUAAAUAAAAUCUCUGCUCUGCGCCUCCCAUGUCCUUUCUUUACUUCUGCUGCUGGGGACCGCGCACACUAAAGGCCAAUUGUUAGUCAGUCUGUCUCUCUCUGUAACGUAAUGGCAGGAAAUGGCGUCCAAAUAUCCUCCAUUUGUUUCCCAGCGAAACGUUUCUUUGAAAAGAAGAAAGGCGAGUGGAGGCUGAUGUAAAUGAAGAAAGCACCAUUAUGAAGAACUUCAAGAUUGCAUCUUGCACAACAAAGUCCCAUACAAAGAAUGUUCCAGCUUGAUAAAGGGACGACUGGAUUGGCAAGCUGAUUGCACAACGCAGGGAAGUUCCCAUGAGGACGAGUUGGUGACAUGAGAGCUGAUUGCAUCUUGCACAACAAAGUCCCAUACAAAGAAUGUUCCAGCUUGAUAAAGGGACGACUGGAUUGGCGAGCUGAUUGCACAACGCAGGGAAGUUCCCAUGAGGAUGAGUUGGUGACAUGAGAGCUGAUUGCACAAUGCAGGGAAGUUCCCAUGAGGAUGAGUUGGUGACAUGAGAGCUGACUGAAUGCUGCAUUUAGGAUGGGACUCGUCCACCUGCUGGUCAAAAUGGGACCUAGUUGAUGUUCAGUGAGGGCCACAAGUCCAACACUUAAAUGAUGUCUGCCACAGGUGACCAAACUAUUGACUUGGCAGUUUAUAAGAUGAAGUGUCUGUGGCUGCACAUGCAAAGUGUAAACUAUGAAAUUAACUUAGAUUAGUUUCUAAUAAACUAAAUGUCAAAAAGUUCCGUUUCAAGUGCUCAUGUAAGGUUGUUGGUUCACUUGAAUCUUUGAUUAUAAACCUCUAAAGGCUUAGUGGCCACAUGCGUGGACAGCACCUUUUAGCUCUUAUUUCCAAAAUGGUGUACACUACUGAAUUGGGGUCUUAUGGCCACGUAUGUGGACACUUAUACUGCCAUCUGGUGGUGUCAGAAGAGUAUAACAUACAAUGGAAUUUGGAGGGAAAAAAGUGUAAAAAAUAAGAAUUAGCAUGUCACUAAACAUGAAGUACACGUUUGUGUACUUAUGGACUAAGUACAUCAUAUCAAAAGAUGAUUCUUAGUUUUUAUUCUAAUUAGAGUCCAAUAAGCCCAAAUAGCAAAGAGAAA